rnacentral:sRNA from 1 species
CUGUAGACUAAGCUGGCCUCAAACUCAAGAGAUCUGCCUGCCUCUGUUUCCUGAGUGCUGAGUUUAAAGAUGUUCAGCACCACAACCCAGCUCUCCUAUUACUCUUAAGUAAGCUAUCUCAAAAGCAAUGGUUUAAAUGGUCUACGCUCAAGAAGCUUAUUGUAGUAUGACAGAGUCAGUCUACGUUGUUCUCCUACCUGAAAGCCGAUGUGUUGUCUAGCUUGAACUAGAUACCUUAACAAGUACUUUCUAUAUGAACAUUAGUGCCUCCCCAGCUGCCAACUAACAAGCAAUGUGUCACUGAACCUUAAGAACACAGUUUGGUUUUCAUCAGAAAACCUCUGCUCUUAGAAGGGAGGGAGGGAGGAGGGAGGGAGAAAGGAAGGGAGAGAGGGAGGGGGAGGGAAGAAAGAUAGAAGGAUGGAUAGACAGAUAGAUAAAACAUGGCUACAGGUAGCUACAGAAUACAAACCUAAGGAAGGAAGGAACAAGCUGCAUUUGGGGUUUUCUCAAGCACUCCUAAGUGACUAAGGACACAGUGACUAAGGACUGUAACUGAGAUAACCAGAAGGCAAGAGUGGGACCCUUUUUUCAAAGUCUGCAACAUCCCAAAGUAAAACAUUAUCCAAGAUACACACGGAAAGUAUUUGUGGCUUCUAAAGUUCAUUUUCUCAAUGUAGAGUCAGCAAGUGAAGUUAACAAACUUCAUAGAAAGCAAAUGCAGAGGCACUAAUCAUAAUCACCUAAAGCAUUCCAGUUCCCACUUUCUCAGGAAACUGAUGGGCCAGCUGAGACAUUCCCACCCUCCCCAACUGUGCUUUCGAAGACAGAAUCCACAGGAACAUUAAUUACUAUGGACACAAGACCCUUUUGAAAAUGAAGGACAUCCGGCUCUCGACAAUAGAUGCCAUUUCAAAGGAGAUUAAACUUAUAAAAGCACUGGGACCAAGAAGACAAUGAGAUUGACGGGCCAAUUGGAAUUAGUUUUCCCAUGACAAAUAAAGUCUCCUUUUUAAAAACAAAGGCGUCCCUAAAUACUUUCUUCAAUGGCUGCAAGCACAGGGGAUCCCCACAGGGAAGAAGACAGAAACAACAGCCUCCACACCCAGAGGUCUGUACUCCUCUCCCCGGACGCAUUCUCAACAUAAAGGGACAGCACAGCAAAUAUACAGUUCACUUAACGCUAGCCUUCAAUGUCUUGUGUUUGCUAGCACCAGGACUACAACAGCAGCAAACAGCACAUUUUAAUACGACCUUUGGCACACUAAGGAAAAGAACUCCCCCACCUCCUGCCUAUCAGGGACUGCUGUGCAUUUGUAAUCUCCAGGGUUACAAAAGAAAGGAGCCGGUGAUGAUUAAAAUGGAUUACAUUGUUAGCAAAAAGAGUUUCCUUUUAAAAGGUUUUGAUGUGUAUGUAAACACCUUACUUGUGUGCCUUAGCAUAUUUAGAAAUACGCGGGCUCCUCUAGGCACUAACUCAAGAGAAUGAAGACCCAAGAUGCUGUGACAAUGGGCAAACCUGUGACAAUCUAGAGCCAGGUGAGCCAAGUCUGUGGACUUGAGCAUAAGGAGGGGAGAGAGACAAGCACUUGCUCAGACAGUGGUCACAGGCCAGGAAUUGCACAAAUGGCAACAUAUUCUCCCCUGGGGGUCCUUCAGACAUAAAUGUAACUUAUCCUUCUGAGCAAAUGCUCACAAGCAGUUAUUGUGAGAGCUAUGUCUCCAACGUUAUUCAUGAGGAGUCUAAAAGCUACGUUUUCAGGGCUCAGGCUCCUGUCCACAGCCAAAUGGGAUGAGAAGGCAGUGCUGCAAAGUGCCUGUGUCUCCAAGAUGACGGCUCAGUUUGUAAGUUUUAUUUACAAGAUCCCUAGUAUCUCCACACUAAACAUAGGCAACGGCUUUCUAAGGAUGAAGGAAGAGAAAGAAUAUAGUCCGUGGGGCAGAAUCAAACCCCACCUCUCCUUCCCCAGCUGUAUCUGACCUGGAAUGUGACUGAGAUCAUAUUUGUGAAACACAGUAAUGAAAGCACAGUGCAGGCUGUGUGGCCCCAAUUGUACAUAGGGCACACACCAUGCCAAAAAAAAGUAAUGGUUGUUGUAGGAAAUCAGAAUGACUACACUCCUGGUGUAAAAUCUAAAGUGUUCCUGAAACAUUUACAUACAUCAGAAUUUUCACAAUAUUUAAUCUGCACCUCUACACCCAAAAGUCAAAUGAAAUAUUUAUAAGCCUACAAAGGGCCCCAACAGUUUCUCUGCUUUUUGUUCUGCCUUGUUGCUUUUUGUUGGAGACAGGAUAUCACUGUGAGGCCCUACCUGUCCUAGAACUCAUUCUGUAGAACAAGGCUGGCCAUGAAGUCACAGGGAUCCACUGCCUCUGCCUCUUGAGUGUACUGGGAUUAAAGUGGGCACCACCACACCCGACUUAGAAUUUUCUGCUUUUUAAAUUCUAGCUUUUAACUACCAUUGUCAUCGUCAUAUAAUUUUGGUGUUCAGGGCCCCAUACCUAAGCAUGUAACUCUACCUCUGAGCUAAAUCCAGAUUUUUAUUAUCAGCCUCAAAGUGAAAUGUGACCAACUUACAAUUUAUCAUCUGCAAUCUCUCUAGCUCCAAAUGACUUGGUUAGAAAGAGAAGAAGAAAGAAAUUCUUAAUUUUUUUCAAAGCAGCCAGCUAAUUUUUCCUCUGAUAUAAACCAACUAGGAACAUGUUUAAGGCUGGCACAGCGAAACAGCACACUGCAAGAUUUCCUCUCUGGCAACUCAAGAGUGUCGUAUAACACACACACACAAAAAAAAAAAAAAAAAAAAAAUGAAAUUUGCUUCUGCAGCUUAGCAUUCAGGAUCCCUGGGUCCCAUCUCUGGCAACAAAAUACACAC